GACAGAGGGGGCAAGCGUUGCUCGGAAUCACUGGGCGUAAAGGGCGUGUAGGCGGGAUGGCAAGUCAGUCGUGAAAUCUCUCGGCUCAACCGAGAAACGUCGGCUGAUACUGCCGUUCUUGAGGGAUGCAGAGGAGACUGGAAUUCCCGGUGUAGCGGUGAAAUGUGUAGAGAUCGGGAGGAACACCGGUGGCGAAGGCGGGUCACUGGCCCGGUACUGACGCUGAGGUGCGAAAGCGUGGGGAGCAAACAGG
rnacentral:rRNA from 1 species